CGAAGGAUCCAAGCGUUAUCCGGAUUUAUUGGGUUUAAAGGGUGCGUAGGCGGGCUAUUAAGUCAGUGGUGAAAGCCCCAAGCUUAACUUGGGAAUUGCCAUUGAUACUGAUUGUCUUGAGUACACUUGAAGUGGGCGGAAUGUGUCAUGUAGCGGUGAAAUGCUUAGAUAUGACACAGAACACCGAUUGCGAAGGCAGCUCACUAAAUUGUAACUGACGCUGAGGCACGAAAGCGUGGGGAUCAAACAGGAUUAGAUACCCUGGUAGUCCACGCCCUAAACGAUGAUUACUCGAUGUGUGCAAUAUACCGUACGCGUCUGAGCGAAAGCAUUAAGUAAUCCACCUGGGGAGUACGACCGCAAGGUUG
rnacentral:rRNA from 1 species